CCUACGGGAGGCAGCAGUCGGGAAUAUUGCGCAAUGGAGGAAACUCUGACGCAGUGACGCCGCGUAUAGGAAGAAGGUUUUCGGUAUGUAAAGCUCUAUCAGCAGGGAAGAAAAUGACGGUACCUGACUAAGAAGCCCCGGCUAACUACGUGCCAGCAGCCGCGGUAAUACGUAGUGGGCAAGCGUUAUCCGGAAUUGUUGGGUGUAAAGGGUGCGUAGACGGAGAAACAAGUUGGUUGUGAAAUCCCUCGGCUCAACUGAGGAACUGCAACCAAAACUAUUUCCCUUGAGUGUCGGAGAGGAAA
rnacentral:rRNA from 1 species